GUUCAUAUGAUGAGAUUUCACUGUUCAACUGCUGUAUGACUGAAGUGUGAACUAACAUAAUGAACUUCUGACA